GAUGAACGCUAGCGGCAGGCUUAAUACAUGCAAGUCGAGGGGCAGCAUAAGUAGCAAUACUUGAUGGCGACCGGCAAACGGGUGCGGAACACGUACGCAACCUUCCUUUAAGUGGGGAAUAGCCCGGGGAAACCCGGAUUAAUACCCCGUAAUAUUAUGAUGUGGCAUCACAUUAUAAUUAUAGAUUCAUCGCUUAAAGAUGGGCGUGCGCCUGAUUAGGUAGUUGGCGGAGUAAUAGCCCACCAAGCCUGCGAUCAGUAACUGGUGUGAGAGCACGACCAGUCACACGGGCACUGAGACACGGGCCCGACUCCUACGGGAGGCAGCAGUAAGGAAUAUUGGUCAAUGGACGCAAGUCUGAACCAGCCAUGCCGCGUGGA
rnacentral:rRNA from 1 species